CUACCACUGCUGUCCUCUAAGUUAUAAGUAGUAUCUAAAUGUGACACCGUCAUGCCCGUACUUGUACUUCUAGAGGAGUGUCUGCGAUGUUGAUGUCUGUGUAGUGGUAAAUACUUGAUGGCUGUCCUGAUCCUCCAGUCUGGUGGAAGCAGUCAGGCUGUUUUCCCCAGGCUGGCAGCACAUUUUCCAACUAUACAGUCUGACCGCUUCCACCGGAUUGGAGGAUCGAGACAACUAUCAAGUAUUUACCACUACACAUCAGCAUCGCGGACUCUCCUCUAGAAGUACAGGUUGUGCCACAGAAAGAAAACAUUUUCAACUGAAGGAACUUUGUUAUUAGAAGUGUUCCCAUCCCAUCAAAUAUCCUGACAUGAAGCCUGUCACAUACAAAUGGAGUAGAUAAGUGCAGCCAGUAUGGGUAUCCAAAUGAUGCAGAAAAUGAUCAUGCACCAUCCCAGGGCGACUCCCCAGAUGGGAUAUUCAACAUUGCCAUGCUUUGGAGAAGAGAAUGUGACCAGGGACCAGAUCAGAAUAGCCUGUAAA